AAUUCUCAAUCCCGUUUGGUUUUGAAUCAGACGUGGCUUGGAUUUGGGAGCUUGCUGGUACUCUACAUUGUGGGGUUCGGCUCUCCUUGAAUGCAUUAGCUCGGUCACGUUAGUUGCCCGACGGUUCACGGUGUGAUAGUUUAACUUCAUCGCCGUUGUGACCGCCUCGGUGCCUGUGCCUGCCGGCUUCUAAUCUGCUGUGUCUCUUUAGAUGCGCAUACACUUUGAC
rnacentral:misc_RNA from 1 species